rnacentral:lncRNA from 1 species
AUAAUAUGGCUUUGAUUUGAUUCUGACCCCAAAAGGAACACCUUCAUGUGCAAGCGGCCGCUUCGAGCCAUCGACCUCUGCUCUGAGCCCCGGUUCAGCAGCGGGUCAGCGGAAGGAGGGGGGCACUGCGUGUUAUUGGGGGGUGCCAGUUUCCUCUCCUCGCCACGGUUACAGCUGCUGCUGCCAUGGAAACUGCUUUGCAGACUGAGGAAGGACCCGCGUGUGGAUACUUGCAGAUAUAGAGUUAGAGAGAAUGACAUGCACGAUAAUGGUGACGCUGCCUACAUAAAACACACUGACUGUUGGGCCGUUGAAUGGGGGAGGACAGUUUCCACGUGCUCUUCGCUUCAUGGUGGUUGUCAAGACGUUUGACCUCAGUUGAACAGCUCCGGGUAAACAAGUCAUCGCAAAUGUCCCCUCCCUCAGUUCCAAACAGCUUGCAUCCCAUCAGCGCGCAUGUUUUGCCAGGACAGAUGACAGGAAAACAGUCUCAGCUCAUGUUCAUAAUAAGGUAGGUGUAAGAGGACUUUGCCGUUGACUUUUCCUUGUGGUCCUUCUUAUACUUCAUGCGACGGUUUUGGAACCAGAUUUUAAUCUGCCGGUCGGUGAGCUUCAGCAGCUCAGCCAUUUCAAGUCUCCGGUUGCGGCACAGCCUCACUUGUGGAUUUCCAGAGGCCCAUGACUGAAGGUCGCAGCUCUAGUUUUUGAUCAGCGGAGGACCAGCGGAAAUUAUUAACAUGCUACUUCAUAAUAACAUAUCACAUAACAUUACAUAAAAAUCUGUUUUUCUGUAUUGUUUAAAUGUCGUAACAUAUGACAAUAAAUGGAAUUUUAAAAAGCCUGA